rnacentral:rRNA from 1 species
GGGGGGGGGGGGGGGGGGGGCGGGGGCGGGCGGGGCGGGCGAACGGGCGGGGCGCUUGCGCCUCGGACGGUAGCGGCGGGCGGGUGCGUAACACGUGGAUACCCUACCUCUACGACUGAGAUAACUUCGGGAAACCGGAGCUACUACCGGAUAAUCUAUUGAACCGCAUGGUUCAAUAGUGAAAGACGGUUUUGCUGUCCCUUAUAGAUGGCUCCGCGCCGCAUUAGCUAGUUGGUAAGGUAACAGCUUACCAAGGCAACGAUGCGUAGCCGACCUGAGAGGGUGAUCGGCCACACUGGAACUGAGACACGGUCCAGACUCCUACGGGAGGCAGCAGUAGGGAAUCUUCCGCAAUGGGCGAAAGCCUGACGGAGCAACGCCGCGUGAGUGAUGAAGGUCUUCGGAUCGUAAAACUCUGUUAUUAGGGAAGAACAAAUGUGUAAGUAACUAUGCACGUCUUGACGGUACCUAAUCAGAAAGCCACGGCUAACUACGUG